CUCUACCGCCUCAGCUGCUCUGGUGACCAUGAAGUAGGCCAUGAAGUGGUCAGGAGCGGCAGUCACUGACGGCUGGGCCCAGGAGGCCCGUCCUGGCUCCAGUGUAGGAUGCUGGCGGGAGACUGGGGGCCAGGCAGGUUCUGCUGGUGCUGUGUCACCUUAGUGCCACAGCUGCCUAGGGAGCGGGUAAACGCACGUUCCUGGCUGAGUGCUCAGGAUCCAGGUGAGCACACAACCGCCAGGGGACAGCAAGAGGCCUGACCUGUCCCUGGCAACAGCCCAUGGCCUGAGUGACUACUUGUGCCUGGGAUAUACCUGUGCCUGUGUCCACGGCAGCAUGACCACCACGGCACGAAGGUGGGGACAGCUCACAUCCAUGUGUCGGUGGGUGGAUAAAUGACAUGCAGGAUUUGAUUCAGCCACCUGCUACGACGUGGGUGACCUGAGAAGAGUGCUCAGUGGCAUGAGCCAGAAUCAAAAGGGUCCCCUCACAGGAGGGUCCCUGGAGUCAUCAGGCCCACAGAGCCAGGUGCGGACGAUGGUGCAGGGCUGGGAGUUGGUGUUCCUCAGGCCGACGCUUCCCCUGGGGAGAUGAGAAGCCCUGGGGCCCUGCCCGGGCCCUGCCUUGGACUGACUCCUGUGUCCUUGCCCAGCACUCGGCCAGAGCCCUAGCCCCGAGUUGGCCUUUGAAGGUCACUAGAUGCAGGAGCAGUGCCUUAGAAGAGGAAGCUGGAUGUGGGGACCACAUCUGUCAUUCCAGCUAUGCUGAAGCCACAGCAGGAGGAUGGCAAGUCCCGGGCCAGCCUGGGCAGCUUAGCCAGACCCUGACUCCAAAUGAAAAGGGCUGGGGUGCGGCAGGGCAAUGCUCCUGCCACACGCCAGUCCCCGGAACACAGCCUCCCGUUGUGAGCAAACCGUCCUCGUAGCCCUGACCGCCCUCCACGCUGCUCAGUACCCUGAGGGUCAACCCUGGCCUCUCAGAGGCCUCUGGGGUUCUUUGGGGACAAGGACCAUCACUCCAUCCCCUUGGGUCACUGUCUUGGGAGAUGUGGCACUCAGCGGCUCAUGGGAGGCAGGACAGGCCAAGCACACUCUCCUCCCAGCAGGAG
rnacentral:lncRNA from 1 species